UACGUAGGGUCCAAGCGUUGUCCGGAAUUAUUGGGCGUAAAGAGCUCGUAGGCGGUCUGUCGCGUCUGCUGUGAAAACUCGGGGCUUAACCCCGGGCCUGCAGUGGGUACGGGCAGACUAGAGUGCGGUAGGGGAGACUGGAAUUCCUGGUGUAGCGGUGAAAUGCGCAGAUAUCAGGAGGAACACCGGUGGCGAAGGCGGGUCUCUGGGCCGUAACUGACGCUGAGGAGCGAAAGCAUGGGGAGCGAACAGG
rnacentral:rRNA from 1 species